ACGUCAAACGCGUGAACUGCAGUGUAUUUAUUGAUAAAAUAUACCGUCAAACCCUCAGAAAUAUACCGAAAUAUACUUUAUCAUUUUCAAAAUAUACUCUAGCUAAGACCCUCAGCACCACACACAUAAUUUUAUCCGAUUGAUAAAUCAAUUCCCACGGGAUUAGCUAAUUUCAAGGACUCCUCUCUAUUGACUUCUACACAAUAUAGGAUUCAACGAAAACAAGUAAAAACAUAAAAUGUCAGUGUGUACGGAAUGUGACGUCAUUGUUGCUGGUCAACAAAGUUUCUGCUAUGCCUGCCUUAAUAAAUUAAGACUAAAGUUUCCUUCUCUGCGGCAGAAAUCACGAUGUCGACCCUGGCACAAUAGUACAAAUGAAGAGUGUAUAAAUAUCUUUAUAUUUCUUUUUAUUUAAAAUAUAUGUUAACGCCUAACAGCGCAUCCGGCGGAAAUGGCACCGUUCAUAUGUCAUAAAUAGAGAAGAGAUAAAAGUCGGUUAACAAUGGAUAUAAUCAUAUAGUGUAUUAAUUA